CGGUACGUACUGGCAUCGUCGGUUUCUCCCUUCUGACGAACCAUGAUGUCAUUUAUUUGGUGUUGUGGGGAAUCAGGACUGUUACCUUGAAAAAAUUAGAGUGUUUAAAGCAGGCUCACGCUUGAAUACAUUAGCAUGGAAUAAUGAAAUAGGACGUUUGAUUCUAUUUUGUUGGUUUCUAGGAUCGACGUAAUGAUUAAUAGGGAUAGUUGGGGGCAUUAGUAUUCAAUUGUCAGAGGUGAAAUUCUUGGAUUUAUUGAAGACUAACUACUGCGAAAGCAUUUGCCAAGGAUGUUUUCAUUAAUCAAGAACGAAAGUUAGGGGAUCGAAGACGAUCAGAUACCGUCGUAGUCUUAACCAUAAACUAUGCCGACUAGGGAUCGGAUGAUGUUAAUUUUUUAAUGACUCAUUCGGC
rnacentral:rRNA from 1 species